rnacentral:rRNA from 1 species
UCUUUAUGGAGAGUUUGAUCCUGGCUCAGGACGAACGCUGGCGGCGUGCCUAAUACAUGCAAGUCGAGCGGAUGAAGGAGAGCUCGCUCUCCGGAUUCAGCGGCGGACGGGUGAGUAACACGUGGGCAACCUGCCUGUAAGAUCGGGAUAACUCCGGGAAACCGGGGCUAAUACCGGAUGGUUCCUUCCUCCGCAU